rnacentral:lncRNA from 1 species
AUGAUGGCUAAUGAAAAGGAAGAAGUCAGGCAGAUCUCACAGAAACUGCAGGAACUGGUGGAUCAGCUCUAUUCAUUUCAAGACUGCAAUUUCAAGACACAUAGUGUUGAGGAUGCUGGGGGGAAGCAAUAGGAUGUGCAGGAGGAGACACAGAAGCCCCCGGAGGAGAUGUUGAAGACCCUGUGGCAGAUGGAGGAAGUCGUGGGUUUAAUCCAGGGCAAAGUACAGUUUUCUUGAGCUGCAACACUGGACCCUGCCUGGCCAGAGCCCUGGCAACAAGAGCAACUCCUGGAAUUCCUGGAGAGAGGAGCCAGCCUCCUUGAUAGCAAGGGAAGCAUGAAGAACAAAAAGCUACAGAGCUAGGAAACUUGUGCUCAGCCCAUCUAGGCCCUUGUGGUGAUGGGCACUGCCCAGUCAGCCUCUGGACAGAAGGUGACCCCAGAGCUCAAGCCACUGAGCAUGCUA